rnacentral:rRNA from 1 species
ACGCAUCCUUUGCUGAAGGCAAUGGUUAACGGAGCGAAAGCGACGUUCAACCGCAAAACAAGCAGAGGGGGCUUAGUGGUGGGGUGACUGCGUACCUUUUGUAUAAUGGGUCAGCGACUUAUAUUCUGUAGCAAGGUUAACCGUAUAGGGGAGCCGGAGGGAAACCGAGUCUUAAUUGGGCGUUAAGUUGCAGGGUAUAGACCCGAAACCCGGUGAUCUAGCCAUGGGCAGGUUGAAGGUUGGGUAACACUAACUGGAGGACCGAACCGACUAAUGUUGAAAAAUUAGCGGAUGACCUGUGGCUGGGGGUGAAAGGCCAAUCAAACCGGGAGAUAGCUGGUUCUCCCCGAAAGCUAUUUAGGUAGCGCCUCGUGAAUUCAUCUCCGGGGGUAGAGCACUGUUUCGGCUAGGGGGCCAUCCCGGCUUACCAACCCGAUGCAAACUGCGAAUACCGGAGAAUGUUAUCACGGGAGACACACGGCGGGUGCUAACGUCCGUCGUGAAGAGGGAAACAACCCAGACCGCCAGCUAAGGUCCCAAAGUCAUGGUUAAGUGGGAAACGAUGUGGGAAGGCCCAGACAGCCAGGAUGUUGGCUUAGAAGCAGCCAUCAUUUAAAGAAAGCGUAAUAGCUCACUGGUCGAGUCGGCCUGCGCGGAAGAUGUAACGGGGCUAAACCAUGCACCGAAGCUGCGGCAGCGAACGUAUCACUUAAAGCGAUUCAGCGGGUUACGAUUGACGGAGCGAAGCGACGUCAAAGCGUAUACAAAGUCGAGUCGGUUUAAGGAUACGUUCGUUGGGUAGGGGAGCGUUCUGUAAGCCUGUGAAGGUGGCCUGUGAGGGUUGCUGGAGGUAUCAGAAGUGCGAAUGCUGACAUAAGUAACGAUAAAGCGGGUGAAAAGCCCGCUCGCCGGAAGACCAAGGGUUCCUGUCCAACGUUAAUCGGGGCAGGGUGAGUCGACCCCUAAGGCGAGGCCGA